rnacentral:rRNA from 1 species
GAGACAGCAGCCGCCACGGUAAUACGUAGGGUCCGAGCGUUGUCCGGAAUUAUUGGGCGUAAAGGGCUCGUAGGCGGUUUGUUGCGUCGGGAGUGAAAACCGGGUGCUUAACACCUGGCUUGCUUUCGAUACGGGCAGACUUGAGGCAUGCAGGGGAGAACGGAAUUCCUGGUGUAGCGGUGAAAUGCGCAGAUAUCAGGAGGAACACCGGUGGCGAAGGCGGUUCUCUGGGCAUGUUCUGACGCUGAGGAGCGAAAGUGUGGGGAGCGAACAGGAUUAGAUACCCCUGUAGUCCCUGUCUCUUAUAC